rnacentral:hammerhead_ribozyme from 1 species
AUUCAGCUGAAGUGUCCCAAAUAGGACGAAACGCGUGUCCUGGAU